rnacentral:rRNA from 1 species
GACGUAGGGCGCGAGCGUUUGUCCGGAUUUAUUGGGCGUAAAGAGCUCGUAGGCGGUCUGUCGCGUCGGUCGUGAAAACUUGGGGCUUAACCCUGAGCUUGCGGUCGAUACGGGCAUGACUGGAGUUCGGCAGGGGAGACUGGAAUUCCUGGUGUAGCGGUGAAAUGCGCAGAUAUCAGGAGGAACACCGGUGGCGAAGGCGGGUCUCUGGGACGAUACUGACGCUGAGGAGCGAAAGCGUGGGGAGCGAACAGG